rnacentral:rRNA from 1 species
AGAGUUUGAUCCUGGCUCAGGAUGAACGCUAGCGGCAGGCUUAAUACAUGCAAGUCGAGGGGCAGCACGGAUAGCAAUAUCUGGUGGCGACCGGCGCACGGGUGCGUAACGCGUAUGCAACCUACCUAUAACUGGGGCAUAGCCCCGAGAAAUCGGGAUUAAUUCCCCAUAACAUUCCGGUGAGGCAUCUCACUGGGAUUAAAGCUCCGACGGUUAUAGAUGGGCAUGCGUGACAUUAGCUAGUUGGUGAGGUAACGGCCCACCAAGGCUACGAUGUCUAGGGGUUCUGAGAGGAUGAUCCCCCACACUGGUACUGAGACACGGACCAGACUCCUACGGGAGGCAGCAGUAGGGAAUAUUGGGCAAUGGACGCAAGUCUGACCCAGCCAUGCCGCGUGCAGGAAUGACGGCCCUAUGGGUUGUAAACUGCUUUUCUGCGGGAAGAACCCCCCGAUCGUGAUCGGGGCUGACGGUACCGCAGGAAUAAGCAUCGGCUAACUCCGUGCCAGCAGCCGCGGUAAUACGGAGGAUGCAAGCGUUAUCCGGAUUUAUUGGGUUUAAAGGGUGCGCAGGCGGAACAUUAAGUCAGUGGUGAAAGCCUACAGCUCAACUGUAGAAUUGCCAUUGAUACUGUUGUUCUUGAGUUCAGUUGAAGUGGGCGGAAUGUGUCGUGUAGCGGUGAAAUGCAUAGAUAUGACACAGAACUCCGAUCGCGAAGGCAGCUCACUAAGCUGAUACUGACGCUCAUGCACGAAAGCGUGGGGAUCAAACAGGAUUAGAUACCCUGGUAGUCCACGCUGUAAACGAUGAUCACUCGCUGUUGGCGAUAUACUGUCAGUGGCUAAGCGAAAGUGAUAAGUGAUCCACCUGGGGAGUACGAUCGCAAGGUUGAAACUCAAAGGAAUUGACGGGGGCCCGCACAAGCGGAGGAGCAUGUGGUUUAAUUCGAUGAUACGCGAGGAACCUUACCUAGGCUUAAAUGUAGAACGACCUCUGCCGAAAGGUGGAUUUCGAAAGACGGACUACAAGGUGCUGCAUGGUUGUCGUCAGCUCGUGCCGUGAGGUGUCAGGUUAAGUCCUAUAACGAGCGCAACCCCUAUUCUUAGUUGCCAUCGGGUAAUGCCGGGAACUCUAAGAAAACUGCCUACGCAAGUAGUGAGGAAGGUGGGGAUGACGUCAAAUCAGCACGGCCCUUAUGCCUAGGGCUACACACGUGCUACAAUGGGCGGUACAGAGGGCAGCUACCAGGCGACUGGAUGCAAAUCUCAAAAACCGUUCUCAGUUCGGAUCGGAGUCUGCAACUCGACUCCGUGAAGUUGGAUUCGCUAGUAAUCGCGCAUCAGCCUUGGCGCGGUGAAUACGUUCCCGGGCCUUGUACACACCGCCCGUCAAGCCAUGGAAGUUGGGGGUACCUAAAGUCCGUAACCGCAAGGAGCGGCCUAGGGUAAAACCAGUGACUGGGGCUAAGUCGUAACAAGGUAACC